AUUGAACGCUGGCGGCAUGCUUUACACAUGCAAGUCGAACGGUAACAGGGAGCUUGCUCCGCUGACGAGUGGCGAACGGGUGAGUAAUGCGUCGGAACGUGCCGAGUAGUGGGGGAUAACGCAUCGAAAGGUGUGCUAAUACCGCAUACGUACUGAGGUAGAAAGUGGGGGACCUUCGGGCAUCACGCUAUUCGAGCGGCCGACGUCUGAUUAGCUAGUUGGUGAGGUAAAGGCUCACCAAGGCGACGAUCAGUAGCGGGUCUGAGAGGAGGGUCCGCCACACUGGGACUGAGACACGGCCCAGACUCCUACGGGAGGCAGCAGUGGGGAAUUGUGGACAAUGGGCGCAAGCCUGAUCCAGCCAUGCCGCGUGUCUGAAGAAGGCCUUCGGGUUGUAAAGGACUUUUGUCCGGGAGCAAAUGCUGGUGGCUAACAUCCACCGGAGCUGAGAGUACCGGAAGAAUAAGCACCGGCUAACUACGUGCCAGCCGCCGCGGUAAGAC
rnacentral:rRNA from 1 species